UAGCAAUACAUCGGAAGAUCUAGUGGCGAACGGGUGAGGAUCACGUGAGAAACCUGCCCCAGACUCUGGGAUAACAAUUGGAAACGAUUGCUAAUACCGGAUGACGUCGGAGAACCGCAUGGUUCACUGACGAAAGAUUAUUUCGGUUUGGGAGGGUCUCGGCCGGCCUAUCAGCUUGUUGGGUGGGGUAAUGGCCUACCAAGGCAACGACGGGUAGCUGGUCUGAGAGGAUGAUCAGCCACACGUGGGACUGAGACACCGGCCCAGACUCC
rnacentral:rRNA from 1 species